UGGGGAAUAUUGCACAAUGGGCGCAAGCCUGAUGCAGCCAUGCCGCGUGUGUGAAGAAGGCCUUCGGGUUGUAAAGCACUUUCAGCGAGGAGGAAGGUGGUGAGCUUAAUACGCUCAUCAAUUGACGUUACUCGCAGAAGAAGCACCGGCUAACUCCGUGCCAGCAGCCGCGGUAAUACGGAGGGUGCAAGCGUUAAUCGGAAUUACUGGGCGUAAAGCGCACGCAGGCGGUUUGUUAAGUCAGAUGUGAAAUCCCCCGGGCUCAACCUGGGAACUGCAUUUGAAACUGGCAAGCUAGAGUCUCGUAGAGGGGGGUAGAAUUCCAGGUGUAGCGGUGAAAUGCGUAGAGAUCUGGAGGAAUACCGGUGGCGAAGGCGGCCCCCCUGGACGAAGACUGACGCUCAGGUGCGAAAGCGUGGGGCAGCAAACAGGAUUAGAUACCCUGGUAGUCCACGCUGUAAACGAUGUCGAUUUGGAGGUUGUGCCCCUUGAGGCGUGGCUUCCGGAGCUAACGCGUUAAA
rnacentral:rRNA from 1 species